rnacentral:rRNA from 1 species
UACGUAGGGGGCAAGCGUUGUCCGGAAUCAUUGGGCGUAAAGAGCGUGUAGGCGGCCCGAUAAGUCCGCUGUGAAAGUCCAGGGCUCAACCCUGGAAUGCCGGUGGAUACUGUCGGGCUCGAAUCCGGAAGAGGUGAGUGGAAUUCCUGGUGUAGCGGUGAAAUGCGUAGAUAUCGAGAGGAACACCUGCGGCGAAGGCGGGUAGCUGGGCCGACACUGACGCUGAGGCGCGAAAGCCGGGGGAGCGAACGGG